rnacentral:rRNA from 1 species
CCUACGGGUGGCAGCAGUGGGGAAUUUUGGGCAAUGGAGGCAACUCUGAUCCAGCAACGCCGCGUGAGCGAUGAAGGUCUUCGGAUUGUAAAGCUCUGUCGCAGGGGACGAAGAAUGACGGUACCCUGUAAGAAAGCCCCGGCAAACUUCGUGCCAGCAGCCCCGGCAAUACGUAGGGGGCUAGCGUUGUCCGGAAGUACUGGGCGUAAGGGGAGUGUAGACGGCUUGUCAAGUUAAGUGUGAAAUCCUGCGGCUUAACCGCAGAAUUGCACUUAAAAUUGUCUCGCUAGAGUCCAGGAGAGGUGAGCGGAAUUCCUAGUGUAGCGGUGAAAUGCGUAGAUAUUAGGAGGAACACCAGUGGCGAAGGCGGAUUACUGGACGACAACUGACGCUGAGGCGCGAAAGCGUGGGGAGCAAACAGGAUUAGAUACCCUGGUAGUC